rnacentral:tRNA from 1 species
GUUUGGUUAGCUUAUGUGGUACAAGUGCUCGACUGAAAAUCGAGAGAUAAUGGUUCGACUCCAUUACCAGACA